rnacentral:lncRNA from 1 species
GUGAGUUGUUCUAUUUUUCUUGGCCUCCGUUUCCACAUCUCUAAAAUGGGCAUGGGGUCUGGAGAGUGCUAGCACAGUGCUGGGUCUGGAGCUGUCGCUCAGCUGGCUGGGAUGUCUUCUUCUUCUUCUUCUUCUUGAUUCAUUUUUAUUUGUCAUUAAUGACAUCUUCUCCUAGCAAAGAAAGAUACCAGCACUAAGAGCUCUCAAGCUUUUGGUCAUCUGAUCAGAGACGGAUUCGGAGGACAGAGCCGGCCCGUCCCCUGGACUUCGCACGGAGCCGCAGGCAGGGUGUUACGAGAGGGCACAGAGCCAGUGACACUUGGGUUAUGGCAACUGCCCCGAUGUCAUCGUCACCCACAGGAAGUGCCAUCAAGGCCCCCGGGGGAGCCGUGUGUCCCUGCCGCCUGAUUCUCGGAAUGGUAACCCGCAGCUCGAGGAGUGCCCGGGCUCUGACCUCCUCCUGCUCCUCGCUCACUCCAGAGGGACCCGGAGGGGACGGAAGUGGAGAAGGGGAGGUGACUGAAAGGCAGAGAAGGACCCCCACAAACAGUAAGCCCGUUGCCUGACACCUGGCGAGUGCUUUCAUGGGAAGCCUUUCCUUUCUUUGUCCCAUGAGCAACACGAGGCACAGGACUGGGAACCAAGGCCGUGAGCAGUCCAAGGCUGCCCGCUUAAACCAAGGAGGCAGAGGGGCCUGAGGCUUGCCUCUGAUUCUGAGUCCCUGGGUCCUGCCAUGAGUGACAGGAGGCCUGUGCCACAGGAGACGGCAGGAGAGGGAGCGGGUCUGUGACCUAGAGGGUGGUGGGGACUGGUAGCAGCCAGCUCGACGGGUCUCAGAUCCCUGCGCUCCAAACGGGGCAAGACAACCAAGGUCAAAGGAAGGUGAGCCCUUAACAUCAGGAUAUAGUUUUCUGGGAUGGGACUCUCCCAGGCAUAGAGGCCAAAGGAUCUGCUUUUGGCCCGGGAUCUGCUUCGGGACCAUCUGGACCCAUCAUCUCCAGGCCAC